UUCUUAGGGGAAAAGUGGUAAAAGUGUCCGCCUCGGAUGUGGAAGGUCGCGGGUUCGAACCCCGGCCUAGUAAU